CUGCAAAAAAGAAUUAAAACUAAGACCACUGAAUUUUCAUUCCCGCAGCUCUCCCUCUUCGCGAACCUUCAUUCCCGCACCUCUUCUUCACUGAACUUCUUCACUGUCAGUCCCACAACUCUUCUUUUAUCCCUCUCUAUCUCCGACUCGUUUCUUCCGCGUCAUUGUUUCUUUCGCUGGAACUUUGCCAUCGCGAGUUGUGUGGAUUACGAUUUCAUUUGUCGAACGCAGUUUGAAAUCGCGACUUUCGAAACCCUAGGUUGGUUUCUUCGAACUGGAAGGUUGAGUUCUAGUCGCCUUUUGCUGGUGGAGGUUUGAAAUUGCGAUUUUGGAAACCGUAGGUUGGUUUGUUCGAAGCGGAAGAGAUAAGUUGGAGCUGCAAUUGCCUUCUGCUCUUGGUAAGUAUGAAUUGCUUACAUUUCGGUUUCUUUUUAUUGGNUGUUAUUGAAAGGUGAUAAAAUGUCAUAUAUACUACUUAAGUAUAUCUUGAAUCAACACUUCCUGUGCUAAUUAGUUGUUUUUAGACCAUAAUUAGUCUAGCGUCUUAAAUUGGUAGAUUUCACUCAAGUUCUAGUCCUNCCUCUGUUCUUCAUUAGUUUUCAGUUUAUGUCUUUUUGUGAGAUUCGGGUAAUCAACAUGUAAUAUUGUUAUUUUGUUUUUCUGGUUUUCUGCAAAAUUAAAAGUUCAUACUUCAUUGUAGUAUUGUUGUUUCUUGUGCAUAUAUCAUUAGUUCUAUAAUCAACAACAAUCUUUAUUUUGGUUCA